rnacentral:rRNA from 1 species
CCCUUAGAUGAUUUGGGCUGCACGCGCGCUACACUGACCCUAACAAUGAGCAACUGUCUGGCCUGAGAUGGCUGGGUAGCCUUUUCAACCCAUGUCAUGAUUGGGCUAGAUUUUUGUAAGUCUUGAUCUCUAACGAGGAGUCCCUAGUAUGCGUGAAUCAUCAAUCCAUGCAGAUUAUGUCCCUGCCCUUUGUACACACCGCCCGCCGCUCCUACUGAUUGGGUGAUCCGGUGAGCUGUUCGGCCAUAGCAAUGUUUCUUGAGCAGGGCAAUGAAUGUUUCGCAAACCUUGCCACUUAGAGGAAGGAGAAGUCGUAACA